AACCCAACCUAACUUGCUUAACCAAACUCAACCAAAUUUAGCUUGAGAUGGUGUUGGGUUGAAUUGGGUUAAAGGAAUCCAAACUGAGACUAUGUGGUCGGCAUAGGGUUGGAAGAAUAGAGUUUAGGUUGGGUUAGGGUUUGUCUAAACUGACUUAACCCACCCAAGUUGCAGUCCUAGCAUUAAGUGGUGACAAAAUUGUUCGAUUGGUAAAGAUUUGAGGAGUCCAGGAAGAAACAUUUGUAACCACGAGAAAAAGAGAAGGAUGCAAAAUGGAAAAAGGAUAAGUGUAGAGCUGUUGCCUAUAAUAAUGAAGGAAGAUGAGAAGGGGGUAGGGGUAUGCCUUUACUCCACCCCUCCACCAUAGUUCGUAAUGACCUUCUAAUCUUGUUCAAUUCAUUAAAAAAAAUGUGAGAGAUUAUGUCUUAUUCCAAUCAUCCAAAUUUUCUACUCCAUUCACUACCAAACUACCUCCUAAAAUCUUCCUAAACUAAUCCC
rnacentral:lncRNA from 1 species